rnacentral:snRNA from 1 species
GAAAAUUUGCUCUUUUAGUAUUUGUCCAGCAGGUUUCCUCAGUAAGGAAGCCCCC